GACGAACGCUGGCGGCGUGCCUAAUACAUGCAAGUAGAACGCACAGUUUAUACCGUAGCUUGCUACACCAUAAACUGUGAGUAGCGAACGGGUGAGUAACGCGUAGGUAACCUGCCUGGUGGCGGGGGAUAACUAUUGGAAACGAUAGCUAAUACCGCAUAAUAUUGAUUAUUGCAUGAUAAUUGAUUGAAAGAUGCUAUUGCAUCACUACCAGAUGGACCUGCGUUGUAUUAGCUAGUAGGUGAGGUAACGGCUCACCUAGGCGACGAUACAUAGCCGACCUGAGAGGGUGAUCGGCCACACUGGGACUGAGACACGGCCCAGACUCCUACGGGAGGCAGCAGUAGGGAAUCUUCGGCAAUGGACGAAAGUCUGACCGAGCAACGCCGCGUGAGUGAAGAAGGUUUUCGGAUCGUAAAGCUCUGUUGUAAGAGAAGAACGGGUGUGAGAGUGGAAAGUUCACACUGUGACGGUAUCUUACCAGAAAGGGACGGCUAACUACGUG
rnacentral:rRNA from 1 species